CCUACGGGAGGCAGCAGUGAGGAAUAUUGGUCAAUGGACGAGAGUCUGAACCAGCCAAGUAGCGUGAAGGAUGACUGCCCUAUGGGUUGUAAACUUCUUUUAUAAAGGAAUAAAACGAGGCACGUGUGCCUUUUUGCAUGUACUUUAUGCAUAAGGAUCGGCUAACUCCGUGCCAGCAGCCGCGGUAAUACGGAGGAUCCGAGCGUUAUCUGGAUUUAUUGGGUUUAAAGGGAGCGUAGAUGGGUUGUUAAGUCAGUUGUGAAAGUUUGCGGCUCAACCGUAAAAUUGCAAUUGAUACUGGCAGUCGUGAGUACAGUUGAGGUAAGCGGAAUUCGUGGUGUAGCGGUGAAAUGCUUAGAUAUCACGAAGAACCCCGAUUGCGAAGGCAGCUUACUAAACUGUGACUGACAUUGAUGCUCGAAAGUGUGGGUAUCAAACAGGAUUAGAUACCCGAGUAGUC
rnacentral:rRNA from 1 species